UUGGAGAAAUUUGAUCCUGGCUCAGGAUGAACGCUGGCGGCGUGCCUAAUACAUGCAAGUCGAGCGAAUGGAUUAAGAGCUUGCUCUUAUGAAGUUAGCGGCGGACGGGUGAGUAACACGUGGGUAACCUGCCCAUAAGACUGGGAUAACUCCGGGAAACCGGGGCUAAUACCGGAUAACAUUUUGAACCGCAUGGUUCGAAAUUGAAAGGCGGCUUCGGCUGUCACUUAUGGAUGGACCCGCGUCGCAUUAGCUAGUUGGUGAGGUAACGGCUCACCAAGGCAACGAUGCGUAGCCGACCUGAGAGGGUGAUCGGCCACACUGGGACUGAGACACGGCCCAGACUCCUACGGGAGGCAGCAGUAGGGAAUCUUCCGCAAUGGACGAAAGUCUGACGGAGCAACGCCGCGUGAGUGAUGAAGGCUUUCGGGUCGUAAAACUCUGUUGUUAGGGAAGAACAAGUAGUAGUUAAUAGUCUUGCACCUGACGGUACCAACCGAAAGCCACGGCUAUCU
rnacentral:rRNA from 1 species